rnacentral:rRNA from 1 species
GACGAACGCUGGCGGCGUGCUUAACACAUGCCAGUCGAACGGAAAGGCCCUGCUUUUGUGGGGUGCUCGAGUGGCGAACGGGUGAGUAACGCGUGAGUAACCUGCCCUUGACUUUGGGAUAACUUCAGGAAACUGGGGCUAAUACCGGAUAGGAGCUCCUGCUGCAUGGUGGGGGUUGGAAAGUUUCGGCGGUUGGGGAUGGACUCGCGGCUUAUCAGCUUGUUGGUGGGGUAGUGGCUUACCAAGGCUUUGACGGAUAGCCGGCCUGAGAGGGUGACCGGCCACAUUGGGACUGCGAUACGGCCCAGACUCCUACGGGAGGCAGCAGUGGGGAAUAUUGCACAAUGGGCGGAAGCCUGAUGCAGCAACGCCGCGUGCGGGAUAACGGCCUUCGGGUUGUAAACCGCUUUCGCCUGUGACGAAGCGUGAGUGACGGUAAUGGGUAAAGAAGCACCGGCUAACUACGUG